UACGAAGGGUGCUAGCGUUGUUCGGAAUCACUGGGCGUAAAGCGCGCGUAGGCGGCUUUUCAAGUCAGGGGUGAAAUCCUGGGGCUUAACCCCAGAAUUGCCUUUGAAACUGUAAAGCUGGAGUGUCGGAGGGGAUAGCGGAAUUGCUAAUGUAGCGGUGAAAUGCGUAGAUAUUAGCAGGAACACCGGUGGCGAAGGCGGCUAUCUGGACGACAACUGACGCUGAGGCGCGAAAGCGUGGGGAUCAAACAGG
rnacentral:rRNA from 1 species